GGUCGGUUAGCUCAGUUGGUUAGAGCGUGGUGCUAAUAUACACUGUUAACGCCAAGGUCGCGGGUUCGACCCCCGUACUGACCA
rnacentral:tRNA from 1 species